UAUCUGGUUGAUCCUGCCAGUAGUCAUAUGCUUGUCUCAAAGAUUAAGCCAUGCAUGUCUAAGUACAAACCUUAAUACGGUGAAACCGCGAAUGGCUCAUUAAAUCAGCUAUGGUUCCUUAGAUCGUCUCAUCCUACUCGGAUAACUGUGGAAAAUCUAGAGCUAAUACGUGCUUACAAGCCCUGACCUCACGGGAGGGGCGCAUUUAUUAGAUCAAAACCAAUCGGGGCUUGCCCCGUCUGCUUGGUGACUCUGGAUAACUUUUGUGCUGAUCGCAUGGCCUCUGCGCUGGCGACGUAUCUUUCAAGUGUCUGCCCUAUCAACUUACGAUGGUAGGUGAUAUGCCUACCAUGGUUAUAACGGGUAACGGGGAAUCAGGGUUCGAUUCCGGAGAGGGAGCCUGAGAAACGGCUACCACAUCUAAGGAAGGCAGCAGGCGCGCAAAUUACCCACUCCCGGCACGGGGAGGUAGUGACGAAAAAUAACGAUACGGGACUCUUUUGAGGCCCCGUAAUUGGAAUGAGUACACUUUAAAUCCGUUAACAAGUAUCUAUUGGAGGGCAAGUCUGGUGCCAGCAGCCGCGGUAAUUCCAGCUCCAAUAGCGUAUAUUAAUGUUGCUGCAGUUAAAAAGCUCGUAGUUGGAUCUGAGGACUCGAAUUGGUGGUGCACCAUACGGUGUUACUGCCGAUUCGGCCUACCUAGUCGGUGCUCGCUCUUGGUGUUCUUAAUUGAAUGCCCUGAGUGCCCGGCAAGUUUACUUUGAAAAAAUUAGAGUGCUCAAAGCAGGCCAUUAGCCG
rnacentral:ncRNA from 1 species